rnacentral:lncRNA from 1 species
AUGCCAGAAAAUUUGAAAACUCAGCAGUGGCCACAGGACUGGAAAAGGUCAGUUUUCAUUACAAUCCCAAAGAAAGGAAAUGCAAAGGAAUGCUCAAACUACUGCACAACUGCACUCAUUUCACAUGCUAGAAAAGUAAUGCUCAAAAUUCUCCAAGCCAGGCUUCAGCAAUACGUGAACCGUGAACUCCCUGAUGUUCAAGCUGGUUUUAGAAAAGGCAGAGAAACCAGGGAUCAAAUUGCCAACAUCUGCUGGAUCAUGGAAAAAGCAAGAGAGUUCCAGAAAAACAUCUAUUUCUGCUUUAUUGACUAUGCCAAAGCCUUCGACUGUGGGAAUCACAACGACCUGGGGAAAAUUCUGAAAGGGAUGGGAAUACCAGAUCACCUGACCUGCCUCUUGAGAAAUCUGUAUGCAGGUCAGGAAGCAACAGUUAGAACUGGACAUGGAAUAACAAACUGGUUUCAAAUAGGAAAAGGAGUAUGUCAAGGCUGUAUAUUGUCACCCUGCUUAUUUAACUUAUAUGCAGAGUACAUCAUGAGAAACGCUGGACUGGAGAAAACACAAGCUGGAAUCAAGAUUGCUGGGAGAAAUAUCAAUAACCUCAGAUAUGCAGAUGACACCACCCUUAUGGCAGAAAGUGAAGAGGAACUAAAAAGCCUCUUGCUCUUGCUGAAAGUGAAAGAGGAGAGUGAAAAAGUUGGCUUAAAGCUCAACAUUCAGAAAACGAAGAUCAUGGCAUCUGGUCCCAUCACUUCAUGGGAAAUAGAUGGGGAAACAGUGGAAACAGUGUCAGACUUUAUUUUGGGGGGCUCCAAAAUCACUGCAGAUGGUGACUGCAGCCAUGAAAUUAAAAGAUGCUCACUCCUUGGAAGAAAAGUUAUGACCAACCUAGAUAGUAUAUUCAAAAGCAGAGACAUUACUUUGCUGACUAAUGUCCAUCUAGUCAAGGCUAUGGUUUUUCCUGUGGUCAUGUAUGGAUGUGAGAAUUGGACUGUGAAGAAGGCUGAGCACCGAAGAACUGAUACUUUUGAGCUGUGGUGUUGGAGAAGACUCUUGAGAGUCCCUUGGACUGCAAGGAGUUCCAACCAGUCCAUUCUGAAGGAGAUCAGUCCUGGGAUUUCUUUGGAAGGAAUGAUGCUAAAGCUGAAGCUCCUGUACUUUGGCCACCUCAUGCGAAAAGUUGACUCAUUGGAAAAGACUCUGAUGCUGGGAGGGAUUGGGGGCAGGCGGAGAAGGGGAUAA